GAGAAUUGAAAAUGAUUAUUACGUUCAAUGUUAUGAAAACAAUAUUAUUUAAUUGGCACGAAAGAAGUGGAAGAGAUAAAGCGUUGAAAUAAUUAAAUAACCUCCGCACUCGUACGAUGUUUUGUAGUUUUGAAAUAUGUAGCGCAAAGUGGUUUGGAAACAUUAAAUAUUUAACUUUACCGGCGCUGCGCGAUUGCUUUUGAUUAGUCUUUACCGAGUAUACAACGAGUGUACACGUAAGUGUAGCGGAAAAUGGCUCAAAGAAAUUUGUUUCGAUAUUAAAUUGGAUUGUUUCGAAAUCGAUUUAAAUAAAAACUCCUUAAAUUUGUUCUUCGUGUGAAAUUUAUGAAUAAAUAUUGUGGAUGAAACAAACCUUUAACAUUUGCUAAUCAAAGUAUUCGAGAAUCCACAUUUUUUCCCUUAAUUUAGAAAGCUCUUUCGAAAUAUUUAAACAUUUCUUUAUCCAUCUUUUACGUCAUUCUUCGUCUCCCAAAUAGUUGCAACAAAAUUUUUCGAUAUCAAUCGUCGAAGAACAGUCCAUAAAAAUACAAGGAAUAAUUUCAAAACAAACGGAAUCCACCGACCCUUGUCGAAUCGAAAUACAAUAAUCAUCGUUCAACGAGGUUCUCCAAGUUUUCUCUUUGCCCCUCGACGCCGCGAAAAAAUAAGAGCAAGAACGAUCGAGGAAACGUCGAAACUUGGAGAAAACGUUCAUCCCCCAAGAAGCUGGAAGCUCAUUUCCUGGCGGCGAGGUGCAAGGUGAAAGGCGCGUAAUUCGAUUUUCACUAAGUGGCAACCGAAAGCUCGGUCCCGGUCGGGCUCGACGAAUAAGUCAAAUCGUGGAAAAUGGAAUCCUAUGGCCCCUUUAUUCCUAAAUUUUACUCGAUUACUUGGAAGAAUUUCGAAGGAAACGUACGAGAAUGAUUCUCCUCGUGGAAACAGCGAGGGAAAAAUAAUGAAAGGAUUAAAAUUUCCACCAGUGGGAAAAGUAACACAAUCGGUGAUCUCACUGAACCUGGAGAUGCAAAUGCGAACAAAAAAGAAAAAUAGUUAGCUGAAAUUCCCCUCUGUGAGAAGAAUGAUCUCGUGCCUGUUAUGCCUGCAGUGAAUGCAAAUGGUUGAGUAGAGAGUUAGCUUCCCUCCCCAAAUCUCGAGGAAACAUAUGUUACACCAGCAAGAAAAAUUCUCUUUGUGCAAGGAAGAAGAGGAAAGCGACGAUGAAACUGGGUUGUCAUUUGGAGCAAGGGGAUCGCCAGUCACGGUUCCAACCAGUACCAAGCUUCAUCGUUCCUUGCCCUCGUUGUUUGCCGCGUUUUACACGCCCUAACGUGGCCCAGCGAGACGUUAAAGAGCGGCACAAACGAGAAAACUUGGCAACUUCGUUAGUGCGAACCGUGAACGUUGUUCAACUUCUCGCAUGCGACGCGUCGAAAGCGUCGUUGGCCUGCCUCGAGAAUGUGUGUAGCCGGUUCCUUAACCGGCGUCACGAGGGUGUUACGACUGUGACGCCGGUUAUGGGGACGCUGCGUAACGCGCGGGACGACUAAGGCGAGAGUUGUUACGAGAGAGGGCGUCGAUGGUUUUGAUCGCGUCGUAAAACUUGCCUCGUAAGAGAUUCCAUUGAUCAUGAAUUGCUCGUUACUGCGACACAUCGUGUAACCAUGGUGAUGGCAGAAAUUGUUUAGGACUUGAAACGACGUGCGAGCAGAUUCGUCAGAGAUUUUAGAUUGUAGAUGUUUGAAAAUGGAAAUGUUAUUAUUGUAAUCUACUUAAUCAUAAAUUAAAAAUGUUGAAAAAUGAUCAAGAUAAGAGAGUUUAUAUAAGAAAUGGAAAGUGAAAAAUAAAUUAUCCAAGUUCUAAAAAGUAUAUUAGAUACACAGCAUGAAUAAAUGAAACUCAAUGUUAUAUAUUAUAAAAUUCAUAAAAAAAAUAUUAAAAAGAUCCAAUGUAUCACUACAAUAAUGAUUCACAUUUUUCACCAAGCGAUCAAUAUCUUCUGCAAAAGAGUUUCUCGAUCAUCUCACCAAUGUUCUUCUUCAAAUUGGAAACUGCAUGAAAAUACGUCCAUUGCUACGUGUUAAACAUAUUCGAUUGGAUCGCUAAAUGUGGACGUAACGAGGGACGAGACUAGUAGAAACUACGAUUGUGGGAAAAAGGGGAAGGAAUGAAUUCUCAACGUGUGACGUUCUCUAGCACUCGAGAAAUUCUCGUUCGUUUGGAGUUUAUAAUGAAGAGUUUUGAUGCGCGUCGGGUGAUGACCAGUGGAAAAUUUCGAAAAUAUUCCAUUCAAUCAGUUUCUGGAAAAUAGUUUGCUAACUGGAGUGGCGCCGAGUUCACGCGCGAGAAAGUUAUUGCGAAUGGUAAUAGAAGUGAUGCUUGAAUUUGGAAUAAGUAGCUUCACGAAAUGACGUGAUUGUCAUUGUUUCUCGCGGUAAUUAAAAAUAUUUUAGCCAGUUUCGGCGAGGCUUGCAUCCUUGUCGAACAUUUGUUUGAUCAUUUUGUCCCAGAGAUAAAUUGAUUUUUAUCGAGGAAGAUACACGUCAAAGAUAUAAUUGGAAUAAAUUAAAAUUAAAGAGUAUAGAACGAAAAUUUGGAUUCAAAGUUAACCUUUCGAAUAUAUCAUAAAUUCUAAAUAUUCUCGAAUCGAACUAUUUUUCUCCAAAAAAAAAAAGAAACAGUAUUAUAAUCA